UUUAUUAUCAUAAGUGAUCGCUUGGCCCAGUGGGAGACGGGGUUGAUCCCCCAUGAACCCAAGGUCAGGGGUUCAACCCCCAACGCAUGCAAUCUGUCUUAUUCUUAUUCCUUUUCACUUCCAUUUUAUUUAUUUUCAUCCCAUUUAAUUUGUUUUUCAUUUUAUUUUUCACCCCAUUUAUUUUAUUAUUCUGAAAAUAUUUCCAACAUGGACCCUUGUUUAUGCCUUGUUUAUGUCAUUUGAACAAUUUUCCAUGAACUUAU
rnacentral:lncRNA from 1 species